UGGAGACUACAACGUUGAUAGGUCAGGUGUGUAAGGGUUGUGAGGCCUUGAGCUAACUGAUACUAAUUGCCCGUGAGGCUUAACCAUACAGCACCUAAG
rnacentral:rRNA from 1 species